CGCAACUUAGUUAAAUAAGAAUAUUGGCUUUGGGGGCCAGAGAUAGAGGUUAAAUUCCUUUAGUUGCGA
rnacentral:tRNA from 1 species